rnacentral:rRNA from 1 species
AGUAGUUUGAUCCUGGCUCAGGACGAACGCUGGCGGCGCGCCUAACACAUGCAAGUCGAACGGUGAACGGGGCUUCGGCUCCGGGAUCAGUGGCGAACGGGUGCGUAACACGUGGGCAACCUGCCCCUCACUCUGGGAUAACCCCGGGAAACCGGAGCUAAUACCGGAUACUCCGCUCCCACCGCAUGGCGGGAUCGGGAAAGGUCCGCCGGUGAGGGAUGGGCUCGCGGCCUAUCAGCUUGUUGGUGGGGUAACGGCCCACCAAGGCGACGACGGGUAGCUGGUCUGAGAGGACGACCAGCCACACUGGGACUGAGAUACGGCCCAGACUCCUACGGGAGGCAGCAGUGGGGAAUCUUGCACAAUGGGCGAAAGCCUGAUGCAGCGACGCCGCGUGAGGGAUGAAGGCCCUCGGGUUGUAAACCUCUUUCGGCAGGGACGAAGCGAUUGUGACGGUACCUGCAGAAGAAGCCUCGGCUAACUACGUG